UUCAGAUAUUUUUAACUUAUUUUAAAUGGUUUGAGAAAUGUUGCUUUGUUAGUUUGUCUGCUUUCAAUGAGGAUGUGAAUUUAGAGGAGUGAAGAUGAAAACUGUUAUUUGCGAGCGGUAUUGAUGGUUGGUUGCAGCAUGCGGGAUUUAAGUAAGAAUUGGAGAAAAUAUAUUUGGAGAAUGAAGGUUGAGUUUGCUUUUCUUAAAGGGACGUUGGAUUAGAAUUUUGUUAAAGGUGGACUGCGAAGUUUUGAUCAACUGGUCUGAGAGUUUUGAUUUUUGCCUGGUGAAUAGAUGAGGUCCGAAUUUUUUUUGGACCCAUAAAUACCGGGCAUUAAAUGAUAGCUGGAUUGAUCUGAUGGAAAUAUACGAAGAUUGUUAAUAGUUUGAAAUAAAUGUUAGAUUUUA